rnacentral:lncRNA from 1 species
GUAGAAUCUGCAGUCAUUUCCCUCUCUUUCAUUUUGGAUAUUGAUCUCCAAGAGCUCACUGAGCUCAGGGGGAUAAAAGCCCCUCACGAAUGUUCUCUGCUGCCAUUCCCCACAAAACCAAAUUCUUCACCGAACCCAGAAGACUAUAGGCCUCGAGAGAUGCUUAACUGAAAAGAUUCAGCUGAAUCAAACUUGGACAAGGAAGAAAAGGUUCACACACCUAAUUCCCAUUUUUCUGAAACCAGUGGUGGUUAUUAAUGACUAUGAGUACAGCAACAAGUCCCUUAGAGAGGAUGGAAAUAUUAUACCCAGGAAUUCAGUGAUGUGAUGAAAUGAACACAAACAUGUUGAUGAAGGCAGAAGACUCAGGGAAACAAUUUACAUGUGGCUCUUACAUAGAUGCUCAAAGGCCACCAGACAUCCCAUCUACAGCAGGGUGCCCUCGUAUACUGACAGUUUCAGCUUAUACAAACCAGUCUGACCACACGGUGUAUUCACUCGACCACUGGGACAAGAACAAGUAUACUAGUUAAGCGGGCAGACUUCUCCUGGAUUGGAAUUGCAGUUCCUAAAUUCAAAUUUAACUCUGAGGGUAUACCCCUUUCCAACAUGCCUGAGAACACAGACUAAUCAAAUCCAUAUAUCUCCUAACUUAAGGGAGACUCUGCUAACAACUUUGCAAAUACUGCUUUUUACAAAUCUUAAAAGUCAAGUUUAACAGUAAAAUUAAAUGCAUACUCAUGGGAGAUGCUGAUGGGCAAAAUGAUAAUGAGAUUGCCUGUAGGCCACCUCCUGAUGGAAAGUUUUUAAUGCUUCUGUUUGGCUUUACAAGUGUUUUGUUAAAGCCUAUUCCAUUUCUCUUACAUUGUUUUUGUGGGAUUUUUUUGAAGAUGGUGAUGAAAAAGAAUAAGGGCAGUAUAGCAAUUAUGUAUUACAUGAGAUUACUUGAUGUUUCAUUAGAUACCAUCUUAGUAAUACCAGAAUGUAUAUUUAAAAGAGCAUUGCUUUUUAGUGCCCUAUUAAUCUGAUUUGAAUUCAAAUCCCACCACUGCUAGCUAUGCGACCUUCGACAAAUGCUUACCUUCUCGGACCCUCUGUGUCCUCAUUUGCAUAAACAUGGAAUCACAUGGAAUUAGUUCAGAAAGAAUUAAAUAAAACUAGUGCGGUAGGUGGCAAAAUGUCAGUUCUGACUUCCCGUUGCUGUAUUUCCUCUGUAUUACCAUUGUUAGAAUCCAACAAUGUU